ensembl:lncRNA
CUGGGGAAGAGGAGGCUGAGGGGAGACCUUAUCGCUCUCUUCCAGUGUCUGAAAGGUGCUUACAGCAAGAGCAGGGUUGGUCUCUUCUCACUGGUGACAGCUGACAGGACGAGGGGAAAAGGCCUCAAGUUGCACCAGGCUCUACUCUGAAAAUAACUGUGUUCUUGCCAGGCAAGCAUAUCUAAGCCUCUGCUAAGUCUUCCAGCCUUACAGGAAUUCAUAAAGGUUAAUUAAAUUUGAGAAGAAAACAUCAAUGGAGAAAAAAAAUCUUAAAAUCUUGGAGGAAAGUUGAAGAGCCACAGUCACCUUUUGGUCUGAAAAUUAAGAUAGUGGAGUAACAUUUUCACAAACAGCUCACUGAAGAGCAAAGCUACACCUCAUCGGCCAUUGCUAUAAUUAGAUAUUCCUUGCACAAUGCUUUAAACAUCUCAGACUGUGCAAAGAUACACAGAACAGGGAACUUCUUUAGCAGUGAGAUUGGACUGGGUGAUCUCCAGAGGUGCCUUCCAACCGCUGCGAUUCCAUGAUUCAGUGAUUACGAUUCUUCCUACAUAUAGAGAUGAGCAUUUUCGGCGUCUGUAAUACUGCUGAUCUGUUCUGUCUAAACCUAAGCUGUAUCUUUGAGAAGAGUCUUUGGCCAUUUGGUCCCUUUCAAAGGAAGACUUGAAGGUAUAAUAACACUGUAAUGCAUGUCUGAAUUUGUCCUGUGGCCUAUUCCUAAAAAUAAGAUUUUGAAUUAACUUCAAGCUUUCCUCCUCAAAUGGUGUGCUGCAUCAACUUUUGUUCAAAGGGAGCCUGUUGGAAUAAAGAGAAGGCACAGGGGCUCAUAAUCGUGUAUGCUCAUUGCCCAGGAAAGAUUCUUGGGUGACAACAGGUUCCUCAGCAGGAAAGGUGCUGCACUUCAUUUCAGGAAACACAAUUUGAUUGGGCUCCAGGACUUCUGAUUUGUUCUCCUCAACCACUGGACAUCACAAAGGGCUGAAAGCCAAUCCUAAUUUUUUGCUGAAGAUUCAGUGGGGCAACAUAGAUUAAUUCCUUUUGCCUCUGCUACCAGAACAUCUUGCAAAAGGAGACUAAAGGAAUGGAUGAAGAUAGAAUGAGCACUAGAUUCCCACAAACAUUGUCCACGGAGAUUCUGAAGUCCUAAACUGGAAGAGAGGAGGAUAUCUUGUGUGGGGCUCCAACCAGUAUCUCAAAGACUGAAGUAACAGAGGCACUAUGGAUUUUGCCUACAUUUCAAACAAGAAAUAUAUGUGAUGAUUCAGAUAGAACUGAUGGCAAAUGUGUAUCCUUUUUCCAGCUGUUAACCUCUGUACUGGUGCUCUAUAAUUCAUGGGUCCCAUAGAGGUUUUCAGGGCUAGAUAAAAUAUCAGAGUAUUGCAUUCAAGUGGACUACAAAGUGUUGAGUAUUUUGUUCUGCCUUCUGCUGGCUACUGACAGUGAAUUUUGUGUUCAGAAAGACUUCUCUUUAAAUCAACACUCCUUUACAAUAAUAUUGCCCCAAUGAGAGACUUUAAUAAUACAAGAAACCAGCAUGUUUAAAUACAUAAAAACCACAGUAGGGUAGAGAAACCACAACAACUCAGCAGGCCUGUGCAGGACCAGCAGCUACAGCAAUGAGAGGAGGAUGAAGAAGACUGCCAUAUAAAUUCAGCUUACAGAAAUUAUUUUGUUUGACUGAGGUUGCAAAAUGACAGUGAGAGAAGUGAUAAAAUGGACUUUCCAGGGUGAAGUAAUCCAGAAACCUUAGCAGUCUGAAAAUCAUUUUUUCUAGUCUGUCUCAAUCUUCUAAUAAUCUAAACCCUGGUCAAAGGGAUUAUUUGUGUGGUAGAUGGUUAAAGACUGAUUCUGGGAAAGUCAGAAUUAACAGAAAUGGUUAAAUAUUAGGAAAGAAAACACUUUGCAUUGUUUAAUUUGCUGUUUGCAUACCAUAAAAGAUAUCUUCUAUUUCAUACAACUUUCUUCAUAUUUCAAAUAUAGGUGUGAAGUUGUUUGCAUUCCUAAGCACUGUGUUAAUAGAGAGCUAAACAUUUCUCUGAUAUGGCAAAGAAGUAUCCUGCACUGAUGCCAUGGACAAUGGAAAUUUUUUUCAAACUAACUGCAUGAUUAAACUGUACUUGUUUUCAUUUGAUUGUAUGACCUUAAUACGCUUAAUACGCUGAAGUAUUUCUUUGCAAGUUGUUAAACUCCUGUUCUGUACUUUAUAUGCAGUUAUGUUCACCUGUUAGAAAGAUACCCAAUAUUUAUGAUUCUGUAGACAUCAGCAGUAGAGCUAGCAGAGAAGUCUCUUACUCAGAGCUGAAUUAAUAACCUGGCGUAGCAUCGGGGCCAUUGUGCUGGUGGAAGUUAUAUAUUUCAGAUAAGACACGUUGUUUUGCAUAACUGAACUAGUGAAUAGUAUUAAUGUUACCAGGACAUUGGAAUAAUUCAGUGAUGAGAAAAAAUAUUCCAUGAUCUCUAAUCCUACAUUAGAGGAAUCAGAUAUGUCUGUAGUCUCAGUAGAAGAAAAUCAGUAUUUCUGUAAUUUCAACAAAGGUAUUCCUGUGUUCAGUCAUAGAAGUACCUCAGUCUUAGGAACACCAAGGCAAAUCCAGUGUUCUUACUUCUUGCCUAGAAAUAAACAAACAAAACCAAACAACAACACAACAUUUGCAACAUUUGUGAUUUCAACUGGAUGAAAUAAUCUUGCUUUUCCCAUCCUAAACUGCCAAAACCAUUUGCAAUCCAUUCUGACAAAUGCUAAGUAUUCUUUAGGUACAUCUGCAAAUUAUACUUGGAAGUAAGUUAACAUACAGAAAUAGUUUGAUACUUCUGUUCAGCCAAAGAGCACAAGAAUUUCUUCAAAUGACCUUUUCCAAAAAUCGUUUGAUCUUACCUUCUUUUUUUUUUUUUUUUUUUCCAUCACAGUGGAUUGUGGUUCCAUAAUCAUUCUGAUUCUUUUUCUCAUAUACUAAAUUUUAAUGUGUACCUAAAUGUAUAGCUUCAAAAGUGCAAUAAUCUUUUCUCUGUGAUCAAGCUCACACAAGCACAGAUGAUGUAGUCUUUUUUCAAAUGUAUCUAGGGGAAAUCCAGUGUCACCUCUUUCUCACUGGAGCCCCACUACCUUUUUGUUCUCUAUUUUUAUUGAUACAAACAUUUCACUUUUAGUUAACAAUUAUAAAUCAUAAUAAAGUUUUCAGUCUCUGCUU